UCCCCAGUGGUCCAGUGAUUAGGACUCUGCACUUGCACUGCAGGGGGCCCAGGUUUGAUCCCUGGUUGGGGAA